UACGAAGGGGGCGAGCGUUGUUCGGAAUUACUGGGCGUAAAGGGCGCGCAGGCGGCCUUAGAAGUCAGAUGUGAAAGCCCCGGGCUCAACCUGGGAAUGGCAUUUGAUACUCUGAGGCUGGAGUACGGGAGAGGAGAGUGGAAUUCCCAGUGUAGAGGUGAAAUGCGUAGAGAUCGGGAAGAACACCAGUGGCGAAGGCGGCCGGCUGGGGGUGCCCUGACGCUGAGGCGCGAGAGCGUGGGGAGCAAACCGG
rnacentral:rRNA from 1 species